rnacentral:rRNA from 1 species
GGGUUGUGAGGUUAAGCGACUAAGCGUACACGGUGGAUGCCCUGGCAGUCAGAGGCGAUGAAGGGCGUGCUAAUCUGCGAUAAGCGCCGGUAAGGUGAUAUGAACCGUUAUAACCGGCGAUACCCGAAUGGGGAAACCCAGUGUGACUCGUCACACUAUCAUUAACUGAAUCCAUAGGUUAAUGAGGCGAACCGGGGGAACUGAAACAUCUAAGUACCCCGAGGAAAAGAAAUCAACCGAGAUUCCCCCAGUAGCGGCGAGCGAACGGGGAGGAGCCCAGAGCCUGAAUCAGCAUGUGUGUUAGUGGAAGCGUCUGGAAAGGCGCGCGAUACAGGGUGACAGCCCCGUACACAAAAGCGCAUGUGCUGUGAGCUCGAUGAGUAGGGCGGGACACGUGGUAUCCUGUCUGAAUAUGGGGGGACCAUCCUCCAAGGCUAAAUACUCCUGACUGACCGAUAGUGAACCAGUACCGUGAGGGAAAGGCGAAAAGAACCCCGGCGAGGGGAGUGAAAAAGAACCUGAAACCGUGUACGUACAAGCAGUGGGAGCACCCUUUGGGGUGUGACUGCGUACCUUUUGUAUAAUGGGUCAGCGACUUAUAUUCUGUAGCAAGGUUAACCGAAUAGGGGAGCCGGAGGGAAACCGAGUCUUAAUUGGGCGUUAAGUUGCAGGGUAUAGACCCGAAACCCGGUGAUCUAGCCAUGGGCAGGUUGAAGGUUGGGUAACACUAACUGGAGGACCGAACCGACUAAUGUUGAAAAAUUAGCGGAUGACCUGUGGCUGGGGGUGAAAGGCCAAUCAAACCGGGAGAUAGCUGGUUCUCCCCGAAAGCUAUUUAGGUAGCGCCUCGUGAAUUCAUCUCCGGGGGUAGAGCACUGUUUCGGCUAGGGGGCCAUCCCGGCUUACCAACCCGAUGCAAACUGCGAAUACCGGAGAAUGUUAUCACGGGAGACACACGGCGGGUGCUAACGUCCGUCGUGAAGAGGGAAACAACCCAGACCGCCAGCUAAGGUCCCAAAGUCAUGGUUAAGUGGGAAACGAUGUGGGAAGGCCCAGACAGCCAGGAUGUUGGCUUAGAAGCAGCCAUCAUUUAAAGAAAGCGUAAUAGCUCACUGGUCGAGUCGGCCUGCGCGGAAGAUGUAACGGGGCUAAACCAUGCACCGAAGCUGCGGCAGCGACACUCAGGUGUUGUUGGGUAGGGGAGCGUUCUGUAAGCCUGCGAAGGUGGCCUGUGAGGGUUGCUGGAGGUAUCAGAAGUGCGAAUGCUGACAUAAGUAACGAUAAAGCGGGUGAAAAGCCCGCUCGCCGGAAGACCAA